GACGAACGCUGGCGGCGUGCCUAAUACAUGCAAGUAGAACGCUGAAGAGAGGAGCUUACUCUUCUUGGAUGAGUUGCGAACGGGUGAGUAACGCGUAGGUAACCUGCCUUGUAGCGGGGGAUAACUAUUGGAAACGAUAGCUAAUACCGCAUAACAAUGGAUGACACAUGUCAUUUAUUUGAAAGGGGCAAUUGCUCCACUACAAGAUGGACCUGCGUUGUAUUAGCUAGUAGGUGAGGUAAUGGCUCACCUAGGCGACGAUACAUAGCCGACCUGAGAGGGUGAUCGGCCACACUGGGACUGAGACACGGCCCAGACUCCUACGGGAGGCAGCAGUAGGGAAUCUUCGGCAAGGGGGGCAACCCUGACCGAGCAACGCCGCGUGAGUGAAGAAGGUUUUCGGAUCGUAAAGCUCUGUUGUAAGUCAAGAACGGGUGUGAGAGUGGAAAGUUCACACUGUGACGGUAGCUUACCAGAAAGGGACGGCUAACUAC
rnacentral:rRNA from 1 species